rnacentral:tRNA from 1 species
GGGGUGCUAGUCCAAAGAAGACAGUUGAUUUCGACUCAACUAAUUAUGGUUUAAACCCAUAGCACCUCU